rnacentral:misc_RNA from 1 species
CUUCACUUGUAAUAAUAGAUUUGGCAGUUACAUUAUGUAGAUUGGAUAUAAAAUAUUGCUAAUGAAUUUAUUGGCUUUCUAGCUCGGCUGAUGUCACAAACAGUCCAUGAAAUCCAUAUGGAACUCGUUGAGGCAAUUUCACCUCUGCCACCACCUCCAACUCCGAUGACCGUGCAUCCAUCACCACGAAUGAUGACUGAUCUACACCUUCAUCAUACAAAUAUGUCACUAAAUAUCCAUCAUCCUCCCCCUCUCCUCCAUAUCCAACGAAAAAUGGCUCUCCAGCAAACCUGCCCGGCCCAAAAUCCCUCCUAGCAACUACGCAAUCGUAACCACUACCAACUUUCUCAAAAUCCAGCUUCACCAACCCCCCAAACUUUGGAAAUGGACAUCCAACAGCCAUGUAGGCGUAGCGGUUUCGUUGUCCGACAUAAUUUGGGUUAAUCACCCCAAAAUCGAGCUUCCCCUCGGUCAACACAGUUCGAAUAACCAAAUCAGACUUAAGGUCAAUCCGAACCAUCUCUAUAGAAGUAGUCAACAAGUCCAGCCUCUCUAAAAAAUACCCAAUAAGAUUCACAUUUGGGCCUAUAAUCACAAUCGUAUCGCCCUCCUCCCACGAAUUGAUGACAUGGAAGAUGUUAAACCCCGGCACAUUGAACCAUCUUGCCGCCUCCCCUUCCGUCUUUGCAUACCUUGGUAGAACACCGAGUCGGGUCAAUUUUUUCGGAUCAGCACAAACAAGGCCACCCCGACCCAUUAGCAUGUCCAACGGCUCCUUAACGAACUGGAUGUCGGGAAAAAUGACAUAACGUUCCGUGAGGGCAAAGUCAUGGAUGAGGGUCGGACUGCGUAUGGAGUGGAUCGGAACAUCCGGUCCAGUUUUCCGACCGGUCUUAUCAAACCGGAAGUAUGUGAGAAAUGGUGGGAGCCAGAACCAACGAAACGCAAAGCACUCUCCCGUGCGUGGAUCUCGUUUCGUAUGAGCCGACAUUCCCAACUUUAACUUGCCGUCAAAAUUUGUACGUCCAACAGUUGUAACGACGCCCGAGAUUGGAGAGACGUGGACGGCAUAGGGGAGAUCGGCCUCGCCGACGGCGUAGAGGGUGUUGCCGAUGAUGGCAAGGUUGAUGUUGGCGAGGCCGACACCCUUGUGGGGUUCGAUUUGGCCGGUGAAGAUGCGGAGGGCUGUGAGGGCAGCGCGUGCGACUCCUGCGAAGCCAUGAAAACCCGAUAUGACGUUGGGAACCACGGCCUUGCCAGCCAUGCACUCAAGACGGAAGUUACUGGUGCGGACAUAGUGGGAGGAGAAGAUGGCGGAACUGGUGGUCUGGAGGAGGAUGGAGUGGAGCAUGCCGUCUCCGUCGAAGAAGUGAUAGGUGCCGCGGGGGAGGUGAUGGGGGUUGGGGCCGUUGCGGAUGUAGGCGCCGCCAGCGAGGCAAUCAGGUAUGGUGCCUAUGAUGGUAGGGCACUGUGUCGGAGGUAGCUCCGUGACCGGAGCAAAGUUUCCGGAGAGGACGUUUACCGGAUUAACCGAGGGUCGGAGGUGAGGUGGAUCAAGGUGGUCGUUGAUGAAUUCUUCGAUGGCGUUGCAGAUGGUGGCUGCGAGUGACCGCCUUGCUGGGGAGGUGCUUAUGCUUUUUGGGCUGGUGGAUUUUUUUAGGUUAGUGGUGGCGUCGGUGGUUUGUUUAGAGUGGAGUUGGCCCUCAGGGUGCUGCCUAUGGACGGCGGAGAUGGUGAGAUGAGGCCGUGGUAAUCUUCCGGAAAGGAAUCGAGGGAUGGCGACCUUGGAAGAGGAUGAAAUGGGGUUGACGCUAAAAUGCUGUGACUCCAUUAAGAG